UACGUAGGGUGCGAGCGUUAAUCGGAAUUACUGGGCGUAAAGCGUGCGCAGGCGGCUUUGUAAGUCAGAUGUGAAAGCCCCGGGCUCAACCUGGGAAUUGCGUUUGUGACUGCAAGGCUAGAGUAUGGCAGAGGGGGAUGGAAUUCCGCGUGUAGCAGUGAAAUGCGUAGAUAUGUGGAGGAACACCAAUGGCGAAGGCAAUCCCCUGGGUCUGUAUUGACGCUCAUGCACGAAAGCGUGGGGAGCAAACAGG
rnacentral:rRNA from 1 species